rnacentral:rRNA from 1 species
UACAGAGGGUGCAAGCGUUAAUCGGAAUUACUGGGCGUAAAGCGCGCGUAGGUGGUUCGUUAAGUUGGAUGUGAAAUCCCCGGGCUCAACCUGGGAACUGCAUCCAAAACUGGCGAGCUAGAGUAUGGUAGAGGGUGGUGGAAUUUCCUGUGUAGCGGUGAAAUGCGUAGAUAUAGGAAGGAACACCCAGGGGGAAACCAGUCGACUGGGCAUCUACUGACGCUGAGGUGCGAGAGCGUGGGGAGCGAACCGG